GAAGAAAGGAGCGUGGAGCGAAGGAGGUGAUAGUUUUCAGGAUGGAGGAAAGGAAAUGACUGGGAAGAGGAAUCCUCUGCACCGCUGUUCCAAAUGGACAGUGUGCAGCUCCAUGGCUGGGGCAGGAGUGUUCACUGGUUGUUAAGGGCUGAGAGAUCUAAAGGGAUCAUGAAGGAGUUGGGUAGUGUCUGCCUUGUUAUUAACAAGACAUGUUCACAUAGGUAAAUUGCAAAGGAAGCUGUAUGGUGAGAACGGAUGUGAUGAUGGAGAGCUGAGUGUGUUUCCAAUGCCUUCAUCCCUUAACAACCAUUAUAAAAAUCAUUUGACACUAUUAGAAAAGAACUAGGAGGGCUGAUGAUUUUAAAUGAAUAACAUAGCAAAUGUAGCUUAUAGAAGUUCAUGUCAAUAUGCAUUGCUUUCAUGGGAAUUAGUGGGGUAGAGGGAAUCUAUCCCAUUUUUUUGUCUCCCUGGAAAACUAGGCUUGCCUCAGCGUGAUUUGCUUGCGCCUGCUUGUGCCCAUUUCAAAUGUCAGUCCUAACUUAGAAGCUGCAGAGGCAGCCUCCCCAGUAAAUCAUUAAUUGAAAGUAACACAGCACGAGGUUUUCUUGAAAAUGGAAAUGGGUUGUGAUCAACAAAUACUGUUUUAAGAUUAUUUUAACGGAAGGGAUUCCUCUUCCUGUUUUUUUUCAGUUGUUUGUUCACUGGGGACAAACCAAAUGUAUUGGAUUCAUUGAUCUGUUGGGUUUCAGAAAAAGGAGGGAAUGGAUCCUGUUUUGAUUUGUGGAGUGGAGGAAUUCUCUUUCCUAGUGAGUUACAUGUGGGAUACCAGGCCUCCCUUUGUCAUGUGCUCUGAUCCUGCCUAUCACCAACUCACAGCAGCUGCUGAAACGCAGUGGUCCACCUCCAGUGAGCCCCUGGUCACAGAAUGGCUGAGGUUGGGCAGGUCCAAUGGAGGCCAUCUCGUCCAAAAUGACUGCCUUCAAAUCCUGAUAGGAAUGUCUUCAAGCCCUUCAAGCUUUCACACUGCCCUGAGAUAAAGGGAAAUGGUUGUCUUUCUUCUGAUGCUUCUUCUGAAGGCUUCAUGUAGAAAGAUCUUGAUGUAGGCAAGGCAGCUCGACUGUGACUUAUCGGGUCAUCUUCUGUUCAGCUGUGUGGUGCUGAGGGAUGAUCUCUGUAUCAUUUCAAAGCAUCUAUUUUGUAUGGCAGUCCUCAGAGCAUCCCAGAGAGCUGGGUGCUUACUUUCCAAGCACACACUGCUCUUGUGAAUUGCAAGUCAUGUUGCACUGUUAUUUUUAGGGUAUGUACCUUAAUUUAGUAGUCCUGCUUAACUCUUCUAGCUUUUCAAAGAUGGACAAAACACAGCUCGUUAGCCUGGAUUUUAAGCUUAAUCAUAGGUAAAAUUCUGAAGGAGCUGCUUUGAAACUGUUGAACAAAUGAGCAAUUUCCUUGUGUCCAGGGCGAAUCUUUCAUAGUCAAGGGAUCUGAAGUUGCAGGCUGUGAACUUAUGUAGUUACAGAUGCUGAGCUGUUAAGAUUCUGUUUUCUUAUAUAGAUAAUAACUGCCAUAAUAAUACAGCUCCCAAACCUAAAUUAAACUGCUCACUUCAAGUAUUGAACUAAGUUGAUCAAGUGUGGAGGAAAUAAAUAAGAUACAAUUUUACUUGAAAUUAUGAAU
rnacentral:lncRNA from 1 species